rnacentral:rRNA from 1 species
CCUACGGGAGGCAGCAGUGGGGAAUCUUGCGCAAUGGGCGAAAGCCUGACGCAGCAACGCCGCGUGCGGGAAGAAGGCUUUCGGGCUGUAAACCGCUUUCAGCAGGAACGAAAAUGACGGUACCUGCAGAAGAAGGAGCGGCCAACUAUGUGCCAGCAGCCGCGGUGAUACAUAGGCUUCAAGCGUUGUCCGGAUUUAUUGGGCGUAAAGAGUUCGUAGGCGGUCGAGUAAGUCGGGUGUGAAAAUUCUGGGCUCAACCCAGAGACGCCACCCGAUACUGCUUGACUUGAGUUCGAUAGGGGAGUGGGGAAUUCCUAGUGUAGCGGUGGAAUGCGCAGAUAUUAGGAGGAACACCGGUGGCGAAGGCGCCACUCUGGAUCGAUACUGACGCUGAGGAACGAAAGCAUGGGUAGCAAACAGGAUUAGAUACCCUGGUAGUCCAUGCCGUAAACGGUGGGCACUAGGUGUGGGUUUCUAUUAACGAAAUCCGCGCCGUCGCUAACGCAUUAAGUGCCCCGCCUGGGGGAGGUACGGUCGCGAGAACGUAAACUUAAAUAGAAGUAAGUAGGCGUUGAGUACGUUGCGAACGGACGACGACGAGGGAGGAGG